rnacentral:lncRNA from 1 species
GCCAUUUCUCUUUAUUCAAUCUAUGCCAUCAUAUCUUCAAGUCGAUUUGAUCAAUUUUUUUAUAAUAUUUGUCACUCCAACUUUAAUUCUUAUCAAGAUCUUCAAUUGAAGCCCUGUUAUACUUAUCAUGUUCUAAACUUACCAUGUGACCAAACAAGCAUGUGUCGUCUAGAUACCAUAAAAAUUUCGUAUAAAUAGGGGG